GAUGAACGCUGGCGGCGUGCCUAAUACAUGCAAGUCGAGCGAACAGACGAGGAGCUUGCUCCUCUGACGUUAGCGGCGGACGGGUGAGUAACACGUGGAUAACCUACCUAUAAGACUGGGAUAACUUCGGGAAACCGGAGCUAAUACCGGAUAAUAUAUUGAACCGCAUGGUUCAAUAGUGAAAGACGGUUUUGCUGUCACUUAUAGAUGGAUCCGCGCCGCAUUAGCUAGUUGGUAAGGUAACGGCUUACCAAGGCAACGAUGCGUAGCCGACCUGAGAGGGUGAUCGGCCACACUGGAGCUGAGACACGGUCCAGACUCCUACGGGAGGCAGCAGUAGGGAAUCUUCCGCAAUGGGCGAAAGCCUGACGGAGCAACGCCGCGUGAGUGAUGAAGGUCUUCGGAUCGUAAAACUCUGUUAUUAGGGAAGAACAAAUGUGUAAGUAACUAUGCACGUCUUGACGGUACCUAAUCAGAAAGCCACGGCUAACUACAUG
rnacentral:rRNA from 1 species